ACAGCUGUAUCAGGCUCCUGUCAGCAAGCUCUUGUUGGCAUCCACAAUAGUGUCUGGUUUGGUGGUUGUUUAUGGGAUGGAUCCCCAGGUGGGGCAGUCUCUGGGUGGAGACCAAGACUACCUACACUAUAUUAUCAACCCCUUUCAUUGAAGGUAUGUUUAUGUAGUUCUGGAUAUAGAUACACAAAUAAAGCAUUUACUGAUUAUAAAUCAUAAAGAAAUUUACCAUAAAGUAGUUCUUUGGUGUUGUGUGAAUGUAAUGUAUGUAUAUAGUUUUACUAAUUAGUAAGAUGAAAGAAAAUUUGCAUACGAAUGAGAUAAAUAUUGGCUGAGUAUUUGGUAAUAUAAGGUGUAGGGCAGUUCAGAGUGUUUCAGAGUAUUCUUAUUUUAUAAUAUUGAGUGCUCGCAACCCCACUUCACAUAAACAGAACAAAGUGAUCAGCGUAGGGAGACUUCCAGAACUAUUGGAAUCUGUCCUAAUUCUAAGCAAAGUUCACUUGGUGAUUAUUUGUGAACUUGAGUCAGCAACUCCAACAGCAAAUGUUAAAAUUAAACAUUCUAAUGUAGAACAAUGCAGAGAUAUUCUUGAUAAGGAAGAAUAGGGAGAUAGUUAAAAUCUUUAUUUUCUGUAAUUAAUUAGACCAUUAUGUUUUUAUAAGAGCAAAAAAAAUUGUAUGUGUAGUAAAACAGUGUAAUUUGUAGCAUACAACAAUCUCAGUUAUGAGCUGAAGUGUUGUAGGUGGUCUUUAAUGGUGUUGUAUGACUUGAUGUGUUUAAAAUCAAGGCUGCAGUGCGUUUCCAUGCCACACAAUACAGGAGAGCACUGCCAGAAACACCCAGGUCCAUAAUGCAUUUUAAAUUUUGGUCAUUGCUUUUAGAAACAUUUUAUUGUGGCCUUUUGUUUGCUUGUUUUUCACCCACAGUUUAAGAAGUUUGGUUGUGGGUUGUGCUGGGGGAAAGGGCACUGUGUAGAUGUUCCUGGGCCUUAGGCACUUACAGGGCUCAGCUUAUAUGUGAGCUGUGAUGAUGCUUAAAACUACAGCACUUUUGCAUCAAGUAGUUCAAGUAGUUUAUGUUGAUUCUCUGCUCUCUUCCCCCCUUGGAGAAAGGAACUGCAGUACUGAGUGAUGUAGUCGCAAUUCAAUUUUUGUGAUGCAGUGAUGCUGAGACCCUUAAGAGGCUUUGAUGUCUCUUGUAACAAAGGCUCUCAGAUAUUUAAAUAUUUUUCAGUUCCGUUUUCAGUUCAGAGCUCACAAACUUUCUAUGUUAGGGGUAUGGUUUCUGAUUUGUUGCUUGUGCUGUGUAUUCAAUUAAUUUUUAUUGGAAAGCUUCUCAGAAAACCAGUCAAUUUAUCUUCUCUCCAAAUUGUUGGUAACCUGAAAUACUACUUAUUUUUUCUGUUUAAGGAGGAACUUUCCUUCCUCCCUUCCUUCUUUCUACUAAUAACUACAUGUAUAGAGCUCACUUUGAAAUGAGCAGAGUCUCACCAGAGUUCUAGAAAUUGUCUAGGGUUGGGUAACCAAUGAAGCUUAAGGCCAGGUGGGCCCUGGGACUCCACUGGGAGCAGCAAAGCUACUAGAUUUGCUAACCUGUGCAUAGACUGGGUUCACUAUUACACAGAGAAAGCAGUUUGCUCAAAUUAGCUUGUAGGUUGGCAGUUCUGAAUUCUUAAUCUCUUUAUUUUAUAUACAUAAUAUAUGUAUAUCUACAUUGUGUGUGUGUGUGUGUGUGUGUUUAUGUAUAUGUGUAUAUUUUGGUCUUCCACUUUUCUGUGAUAAUUUCUUGUGUUAUUUCACCAUGCAGCAUCACCAGUUGCCAUUCAGAUUGCUUGUGGGCUCAGCCUAGCUUUUGUAUACCUCAAAAAAUGGAGAGGGUAGAACAAACCCAGGAUCUAAGGGAGAGACGGACUUACCUGGAACAAGCGUGACUGACUGUGCAUGACUCUCGGGACUUUGGGAAAGGCGUAAGGACUUUUAAUCUGAACACUCAGAAUUCCUAAGAAACUAAUUUUAGGUUUCUUCUACCAAAAAGUGCAUUUGUGCCAUCAAUGCUGUCUUAAAGAUUUUUGUGGAAAGAUUAGAUUAAAAAGGGUUAGAUAAGUCAGUUGCCACACAUUUCUCUUCCUCAAUUCAGCACUUGUUCUGAUGCCUUCAUUACCCUGUUCAGUAUUUUCACUUGAGGGCCCUCAAAUUACACCUAUCUUACUUAGGAUUUGGGAGUUGUAAGUUUUCUGGUAUUACAUUUUACUGCCCAAAUCUACCUUAACACAUCUUAAUUAAUUAAUUAAUUACCAGACGGGGUUUCUCUGUGUAGCCCUGGCUAUCCUGGAACUUACUCUGUAGACCAGGCUGGCCUCAAACUCAGAAAUCCACCUGCCUCUGCCUCCCAAGUGCUGGGAUUAAAAGCGUGCACCACCACUGCCCAGAAUUUUAUUUUAUUUUAUUUAUUUUAUUUUUUUUUACCACCACCGUUCUGCCCUAUUUUCUUUCUUUAAAGAUAAGUAUUUUUUAAUUUUUCAGGCUUAUUUAUUUUAUUUUAUGGAUAUGAACAUUUUGUCUGCAUGUUUCUGUUGCACCAUGUAAAUGCCUGGUGUCCACUGAGGUUAGAAGAGAACAACAUCAGAUCCUCUUGAAUUGGAGUUACGGCUAAUAGUGGGCCAUCAUGUAGGUGUUGGGAAUUGAACAUGGAUCCUCUGCAGGAGUAAUGAUUGGUCUUACCAAUGAUCCAUUUCUUCAGCCUUGCAUAUUUUAGUAUC
rnacentral:lncRNA from 1 species